GACGAACCGUGCGAACGUUGUUCGGAAUCACUGGGCAUAAAGGGCGCGUAGGCGGCUCGCGAGGUCGGGGGUGAAGUCCCACAGCUUAACUGUGGAAGUGCCUUCGAUACCGGCGGGCUCGAGGGAGGUAGGGGUGCGCGGAACUUCUGGUGGAGCGGUGAAAUGCGUAGAUAUCGAGAGGAACACCUGCGGCGAAGGCGGGUUGCUGGGCUGACACUGACGCUGAUGCGCGAAAGCCAGGGGAGCGAACGGG
rnacentral:rRNA from 1 species